GGGCCAUACCCGUGGCAUAAGGAGGUUCCCAGGAUAGUCAAAUCGGAGCUGUAGCUGCUAGCCUGUUCCACAGCCACACCCACAGCAAUGUGGGAUCCAAGCCUCAUUUACAACCUACACCACAGCUCAUGUCAAUGCUGGAUCCUUAGCCCAUUGAGCAAGGCCAGGGAUCGAACCUGUGUCCUCUUGGAUACUAGUCAGGUUCCUUUCUGCUGAGCCUUGAUGGGAACUCCUAUCACUACUUUUACUACUUGUUGAUUUAGUAUCUGAAAGCUUUCUAAAAAGAGAACUAGCCUUCACCUACUAUUUAGUAACCCAGUGUCUAAACAAUUUUAAAUCCACUGAAAAGCUAAAAGAGAACAAUACUCUUUACUGGGAUCCACUAACUCUUACCAUUUUGCAACAUUUGCUUUUACCUCUCUCUCUCUACACACACAUGUGUACUUGAAAGCAACCUGCAGACAUGACCCUUUUCCCCUAAAUACUUCAACAUGUCUUUCUUAAAAAUGACAAUAGUGUUCUACAAAACCACCCAAGAUAUUUAAUAAUGAUCCAAUAAUAUCUGAUAUGGAAUCCAAUAAUACCUAAUAUGGAAUCCAUAUUCAAAUUUGUACAAUUGUUUACAAAGUAAUAUUUAUUGCAGUUAUUUUUGAUCCAGGAUCCAGUCAACAAUUAUGCUUUACAUAUUAUGGUUGUCAUAUCACUUUAGUUUCUUUUAAUCUAGAAUAGUCCUGUCUCCUGCUUGUCUUCAUGGGACUAAUUUUUUUUUUUUUAAGAGUCAGAGCCAAUUCUUUCAGUGAAUGGUCCAUAAUCUAGAUUUGGCUCUUUUCUUGUGAAUAUGUUCAAGGUAAACAUUUUGGUGAAAGUACCCCGUAGAUUGUAUUAUGUACUUCCAAUAGCAUCCUAGCAAGAGCCGUAGCAUAAUUUGUCCCAUUACUAAGGAUGCUACAUUUGAUCACUUUGUCAAGGUGGUAAGUGCUAGAUCUUUCUACUUUAAAAGAAGGAAAGUUCAGGAGUUCCUGUCUUGGCUCAGUGGAAAAGAAUCUGACUAGCAUCCGUGUGGACACAGGUUCAAUCCCUGUCCUUGCUCAGUGGGUAAAGGAUGCAGCAUUGCUGUGAACUGUGGUUGCCGUGAGCUGUGGUGUAGGUCACAGAUGCGUUCAGAUCCCGUGUUGCUGUGGCUAUGGCAUACAUAGUCAGCAGCUACAGCCCCAGUCUGAUCCCUAGCCAGGGAACCACCAUAUGCCUCCAGUACGGCCCUAAAAAGACCAAAAAAAAAAAAAAAGAAGGUUCAAUUUUUUAUGAUUUAAUUUAAUUAACAGCAUAACAGCAUAUAAUGACAAUACUUAAAAUGAGCUAUCAUUAUCAUAAAAUGGAUUUAAAAUCUAACUUAUAACUUUCUGAAAAACAUUAAUCUAUGCAAAAUACAGCCUACUCUAUUUUUCCAAGUGUCAUGAGAUUUAAUCAGAUCUUUUCUUGGCAGAAAUUCCUCAGUUAAAAUUUUUGUUCUUUUUUUUAUCCAUUAAAUAUAUAUUUAAUUACAUGAAUGUUAACAGUCUAUUUUCUAAAAAUUUCCAAAGAGAUUAAAUUAUUUCAGGCUCUCAAGGGAAAGGAGAAACAAUUUUUCUAUCUUAUAAAAUCACAGAAUACACACACACACACACACAUACACUGGGUAAAUUUUAAGCCUUCAGAGGAAAUAACUUCUUGCUCCUUGAAUUCUCAAUAUUCAAAACCAAAAUUCUUUCCUUCACUCUGUAUACAUUUCAGGUAAUUUUUGUUAUGACUAGUUACGGGGACUAGUGUUGUGUAUAUUGUUGUAAUUCAUACAGUGAAAUGAUUUCCUUAUUCAACAGAGAGCUUUGGAAAAUAUCCAUGUUCUUGCAUUACUUUGAGCCAUUCUUUGGCUACUUAAUUAAUCAUAUCAUUUAGAUGUAAGUUUGUUUCGAUUUACAGUUCUGCUCCAAAUUUCCUUUGGUGUUUGUCUAUACUCAUCUUUCUCUUUUCCAUCCUUCCUUGAGCAUUCUGUGUGUACAUGCUAGUGCACACAUGCAUAUAGUCUACAGAAGAAGAGAGGGACUGCUUUCCAACUGACUUAUGUGCCAAGAAUAUUUACAUUGAUUAUACAUUCAUAUAUUUGAUCACCUUAGUUUGCAACUCUUUCUGUUAAUGUUGGAUAUACUACAAGAUUUGAGGCUGCAUCUACACUGUUUUUAGUGAUACAAACUAAAAGCUACACUCUGGUAUAAUUAAUUUUCACAAAUGUAAGAGAAGCAGGAUUACAUGUAAAACUAAGGUUGCUUCACAUUUUUGUGUCAUUGACAGGCCUUGGCUACAGGUGAAUGCCUUCAAGGCCCAACACUGGAGCCACUUUCCUAAUUAGCCACAUUUUCUCCCGGAUCUUAUGAUUUCUCCUUUUCCUGUUCUCGACCUUACUGUAGUCUAUACCACUCCAUUCGUUUGGGUUUCUUGCAAGUUCGUAGACUGGCAUUUGAAAUUACAAACAAAUUAUUUUUUAUUUAAGGAUACCAGACCAGUCCUUUCAAAUAGAGUGUAUUAUUUGGCUUGCAAUACUAUUUUUCAAGCCCUGUUACACUUUUCUACAUGGCAAUGGAGAAAGGAAAUGUAGCAGGAAACAGUUUGGGCCAAAACUACUGUGGGACAGCUGUGGGAGGGCUGGGAAGAAGUUCUCUGGGACUUAGCACCAAGUUUUGCUGGCUGUCUGACAGAGUCAGGCAGGGGUCCCCAGACUUAAUCUGAUCUCAGGAGACUGUCAGAGUGGGAUUUUGCUGAUCUGAGAGUCUUAGCAUCUUGGCAUUGAGUCCGUAACAGGCUUUGGACACCCCAGGAACCAUCUUCUUAGAAGCCACUCCUUCCGAUUCCACAGGGUGGCUGCCUCCCCCUCCUCCAGCAGCCUGUGUGGUGGUCUUGAGUUACAUAAAAUUCCAGUGUUUGCUCAGCUGCAGUGGGUCUACUUGCUUGAAGAGAUCUGCCCAGCAGAGAAACCAUGUGACAGUUUUAUCCAGUGGAAUCUCUUGGCUCUCCAGGACAGUAAACAAACUUGUAUUCUAUGAAUGUGAAUACCAUAACUUUUUAAAAAUUUUUUCUAGGUUUUGGUAAAUAUGCUCAUUUAUAAGCUGAUUUAUUUUCUUGACUUUCUAUUUUAUCCCUCAGAGAUGAAUGCUGACCAUUCUUCAAGUCAUUCUUUCAAAAAAGGAACCAGAGUCCUUUAGAAGUAUUUUAUUCUUAGUAGUCUCUCAAACUUUCUUUGUUAAAUGUCUUUCACAAUGCACUAUAAAAAUACAGUCACCACUGUCUCCUGGCAUUUGGAAACACAUUGUUGUCUUUUUAUUUUUCCUUUUUGGUCAGUUUAAAGUCACUACUUAUGAGAAAAAAAAGACUUUAUUUUUGCUCAGAAGAAAAAUUCAGUGUCAACAAAAAUGGAACACAAAGGAACUCAUUCCCCUUUGUUUAUACUUUGAAGUUUAUUUCCCUCUACAGAAAGAACAGCCUGACAUUGGCAUAUUAGUAUGACUGCAAAAAAUGUCAUUAAAAAACAUGAACCUUGGAGUUCCCGUCGUGGCGCAGUGGUUAACGAACCAUGAGGUUGCGGGUUCGAUCCCUGGCCUAGCUCAGUGGGUUAAGGAUCCAGUGUUGCUGUGAACUGUGGUGUAGGUUGAAGACGUGGCUCGGAUCCCACGUUGCUGUGGCUCUGGCGUAGGCUGGUGGCUACAGCUCUGAUUAGACCCCUAGCCUGGGAACUCCAUAUACCACGGGAGUGGCCCUAGAAAAUAUAUUUUAAAAAAAGACAGAUCCCUCUUGAAAGCAAAAGGAAGCAUAAGAAAAUACAUAAGGAGAGGCAUAAAAAAAAAAAAGAAUGCACUACUACACACACACACACACAAAACAUACAUACAUAAAUAUAUAUGUACAUAGCCUAUAACUUUUGGCUCCUGAAUUACUCUAUUAUAAUAGUGUGAUGCUAAGUGAAGUUUUGAAAAACAGCAGCAUCUCUUUUUUUGUUUUGUUUUGUCAUUUGUCAUUUCAGGGCCACACCCAUGUCAUGUGGAGGUUCAUGGGCCAGGGGUCGAAUCGGAGCUCUAGCUGCCAGCCAACACCACAGCCACAGCAAUGAGGGAUUCGAGCCACGUCUGUGACUGAUGCCACAGUUCACGGUGCAGGGCAACGCCGAAUCCUUAGCCCACUGAUCAGGGCCAGGGAUUGAACAUGCAUCCUCAUGGAUACUAGUCGGGUUUGUUAUCCACUGAUCCACGAUGGGAACUCCAACAUCAUCUCUUGUGGAUUUCUUUUUCAAGCCGAUUUAUUUCAUCUGAAGCAUAGAGAUAUCUGUAGAAUUAUUGCUCCUUUAGGAAAAAGGACUAGAUUUUCUGGGAGCACUCCCCUACUCUCUUUGCAAUUUAUAGAUGAAGAAGCUAAGGCAGAGACAUGGGGGUAAACUGCCCCUCUCCCAGUGUACCAGGGUGGAGCAGAGGGAAGAUAAGCCUCAGUAUGUGUUACCAGUUGGAUCCAUGCACAGAUAAAGCAGGUGGCUGCCAAUGAAACAUGACAUUAAUUGAUCUUGAGAUCCUAAUGAAAGAUAUUUGUGUCACUGAAACUAUCACAUUAAAUAGUAACCUGCUGAUCACACACUCACACACAUUAACUUUUUCAAGUUAGCUUUGUAAUGCUGAGAAAGAAGAGCACAUGGGAAAGAAAAGUUUUGAUUGUGAGAAGGCAAUGCUAAGAAAUGUUCAGUGUUAGGAGUAAUAGUGGAAGUAUCUUAAAAACUAAUUAUGUUAAACAUAUAAGAUUUUGGGAGA
rnacentral:lncRNA from 1 species